rnacentral:rRNA from 1 species
UACGUAGGGUGCGAGCGUUUGUCCGGAAUUAUUGGGCGUAAAGAGCUCGUAGGCGGUCUGUCGCGUCGGUCGUGAAAACCUGCAGCUUAACUGUGGGCUUGCGGUCGAUACGGGCAUGACUGGAGUUCGGUAGGGGAGACUGGAAUUCCUGGUGUAGCGGUGAAAUGCGCAGAUAUCAGGAGGAACACCGGUGGCGAAGGCGGGUCUCUGGGACGUUACUGACACUGAGGCGCGAAAGCGUGGGGAGCAAACAGG